CAACUUCAUUUUGUAAUUUUCUCACGAGACGUUAACAAUAGUUCACACUUGCACCAGGACCUCAAUUUGACUACUUAGAAAAAGCUCUCGACAAAUUUGAUGACGGACCUUUCUUCCUAGGCCAAUUCAGUCAGGCCGACAUAGUGUAUGCUCCCUUCGUUGAAAGGUUUCAAAUCUUGCUGAAAGAGGUGUUUAAUUGUGAUAUCACAUCUGGGAGGCCAAAACUAGCAAAAUGGAUAGAGGAACUGAACAAGCUUGAUAGCUACAUUCAGACAAAAGCUGAUCCUAAGGAAGUGGUGGACUUAUAUAAGAAAAAAUAUUUGGCGUAAAACUGAAUAAAAUGCUCAAUCCAUCAACGUUGUUAAAUUACGAAUAAGGGGUGCUUCGUGCUCAGUGUUGAAGGAUUAUACAUUAGUAAUACAUAAAUAAAGUGGUUCUAUGUUUGUUUGUUAUCUGGGAGACUUGUAUCAGCAUAGUAAUAGCUGUUGUAGCAUCUCAUGUAUUAGAAUUCUGUUUUGUGUGUGUGUAUCAAGCUAAGUACUUAAUGAAGUAUUAAAGUUCAUAA